UGUUCCGCCGCUCCUUGUCUCUCAUUUCACCUUUGAUUUUCUUGUAUUGUGUGAACAGAGCAACAGAAGAAGAUGAAAGACGUAUCUUCAACGACACCGUUUCUUCUCCUAUGUUAUACUGCAACCAGAUGUCUUGUUGAGAAUGAUCAAACAAAAACAACAUUCAAUUUUCUCUGCAUAUCAAAAAGUGUUUUUGUUCACAGCAUUGGAGUUCAAGCUGGACACUACUAUGCUUGUAUAUAAGUGCAACACUUUCAAAUCAGUGGUAUGUACUAGUUUGAGGAAUAUUUCGAAUCAUUCAGUAUUUUUGUGUGUUAUUCUAUUCAUCAUAAUAUAUAUUCAUUGUGCACUUUUCUAUUUGUCACAUAAAGUGACAUAAUAUUGGCCACUAUGGUUGUAGAACAGUAGAUAUGUUUGAUGGGAAAAUAUGAGUAAAUCACCAUGAAAAUUCAUUCCA